rnacentral:rRNA from 1 species
UGGGGAAUAUUGCACAAUGGGCGCAAGCCUGAUGCAGCGACGCCGCGUGGGGGAUGACGGCCUUCGGGUUGUAAACCCCUUUCAGCACAGACGAAGCGCAAGUGACGGUAUGUGCAGAAGAAGCACCGGCCAACUACGUGCCAGCAGCCGCGGUAAUACGUAGGGUGCGAGCGUUGUCCGGAAUUACUGGGCGUAAAGAGCUCGUAGGUGGUUUGUCGCGUUGUCCGUGAAAACUCACAGCUUAACUGUGGGCGUGCGGGCGAUACGGGCAGACUGGAGUACUGCAGGGGAGACUGGAAUUCCUGGUGUAGCGGUGGAAUGCGCAGAUAUCAGGAGGAACACCGGUGGCGAAGGCGGGUCUCUGGGCAGUAACUGACGCUGAGGAGCGAAAGCGUGGGGAGCGAACA